GCGGCGGUGGAUGGGUCAGGGUUAGUCAGUGGUUUAACUUUGUGUCAGUGAUAAACAAUGAAGAUACACCGUGUUUGGUGCCACGGACUAAACUAACAGGACAGAAACCUUGCAAUGAGGUGACACGCUACCCGAACGGAUGCUAGCGAGAGGGCGUGGGUGUGGUGAAGGCGGCGUACGUGGCGGUAACUGCCGGCCGCCGCCGCGCCAGACCGGUGAGGUGAGCAUCGUUUGAACAUUUUGGGUUUACGAGGAAAAAACUCUAGUGACCAAAAGAAGGUUGUUUUGAGAUAACUACAUUUAUUAAGACAAGAACGAAAAGAAAAGGCCGGCAAUCAAGUAGACACGCGUCACCUGUAGACCGCACCUGCACCGCUGGAGGAAUCACCUGCAAAUCGGGUGCCCUGUCAGAUGUUGAUGGAGAGUAGAGAAGCACCACCACUCUUGAUUUAAAAAAAGAAAAAGAAAGGUCAAUUAACUCCUUAGUAUCAAGUCCUGGUAUGCUGUUAGUGGUCCGGGGAUUUCGUCGCCUCCUGUCAUGGGCUUCAGACAGAGCAUUCACCCUUCAGCUGGGCGUCAUUCUCAUCACCCCUGGUUUGCACCGCGUGUGUGUUGAUGCUGGGACCAAGAAGAAGAAGAAGAGGAGAAAAAGGAGGAGGAUGAUGAUAAAGGCAACAGGAAGAUCAGAAGAAGAGGAGGAAGAAUGGAAGAAGAGAAGAAUACACACACACACACACACACACAUGACAAACACCUUUUUAUAUAUUUUUCAUUUUUAUUAGUCCAUACAACAUACAUAUAAUACAACAUAUGCAUAACUAUAUACAUUAGAUCAUAGAGUGAGUGAGUGAGUGACUCGAGAGGUGAGAUAGAGAGGUGCCCCCCCCCCCCCCCCUCUCUCUCUCUCUCUCUCUCUCUCUCUCUCUCUCUCUCUCUCUCUCUCUCUCUCUCUCUCUCUCUCUCUCUCUCUCUCUCUCUCUCUCUCUCUCUCUCUCUCUCUCUCUCUCUCUCUCUCUCUCUCCUCACCACAGCUCACAGGACCCCACAGAUGUACCUCUCACAGUAUGUUGACAACCCCCCUAGCCACAUACCCCCCUAGCCACAUGAAGGACCCCCCUCGCACCCUAGGCAACAUAGCACCCACAUAGCCUUAUCAAUGUUACUAUGUAUAUGUAUGUAUGUGUGUUUUUCUAUUAAUAAAAAGUUAAUUUGUAAUGUUUGUGUGUUCUAUACCUAUGAGAGAGAGAGGAAGAGAGGAAAAGGUAAAGAGGGAGAGAGAGAGGAAGAGAGGAAAAGGUAAAGAGGGAGAGAGAGAGGAAGAGAGGAAAAGGUAAAGAGGGAGAGAGAGAGGAAGAGAGGAAAAGGUAAAGAGGGAGAGAGAGAGGAAGAGAGGAAAAGGUAAAGAGGGAGAGAGAGAGGAAGAGAGGAAAAGGUAAAGAGGGAGAGAGAGAGGAAGAGAGGAAAAGGUAAAGAGGGAGAGAGAGAGGAAGAGAGGAAAAGGUAAAGAGAGAGAGAGA